AACCUAAACCCGGAGAAGUUUCUACUUUCUAAAGCUUAGAAGAGAGAGAGAGAGAGAGAGAGAGAGAGAGAGAGAUGUUGAAAGCUCUGAGAAUCUACGCGGAGGUUCUGAGAUUGGUGCGGCGGUUGCCCAAGGACUCUCGGCCUUACUACGCCAAGUACGUUCGGGAGAAUUUCGUCAAUUACAGAGAGGUCGAGGUCUCCGAUGACCAAGCUCUCCACGACCUCUUCAAUAGGGCUUACAUUCAUUCCCUCUGGGUCCUCAACAAGUACUCUGUUGAUGAAUCCGCCGCCGAUAAGUUGAAGAAGAUCUGCAGCGGUUGAGGAGCUUCUUCUUCUUGUUUCUGGUUUCCACAUUCUUGCCGAAAUGAGAGAAGGAUCUUUCAAGAGUCUGGGAGCACUUCCUUUUCCCCUGCCGCCCUUUCUAAUAUCUCUCUAGUUCUUACCUUUGGGUUAUAACUUAUGCCUGUGUGCUUUUGGCUUUUGGCAGCAGAGUGUUUUUUCCUUUGCUGAUUUUGCCAUAUCUGAUGACAAGUAAAAUGAAAUUGUAAGGCAUGUUUCUUUGGACUAGUGAUCAGGACAAACAAAUAAACCACGUGUAAAUUAUGGCUGAUUUUGUCCCCAAAAUAUGGUGUUGGCAAGUGUACGGGUCCGUAACAUUUAGGAGAUUAUGGGGAAUCAAAGUCUUCUAUAUGCUAUACUUGCGUACUGCUUCAAUUCAGACAUCAUGCUUGUACAUGAGGUUCUGCAUAUCUGUGCAUUUUAUUCCUUAUCAUUUUAUCAGGAGAGAUUAAAGCUCCAAGGGUACAAAUUAAAAGAAUACUGACAAUUCUUGCCGAAAUGUCUAGGAGCCCCAAGCUAUCUGAGUUCCACGUAAAGCCUCAUCAGGCAAAGGACAAAAGACAUGGUGGCAUGCUGAGGUUGAUAGAAUUAAUCUUUUCUCCGACAGAAGAACAGAUUUGCCAGACAUCUUCUUCAUAAUGUGCUGAUUUAAGAAAAAAUAAAAUAAAUAUUAAUAAAUGAAGAUCAUAAAGGAAUUUUGAAAGCAGAAUUAUAUUAAGGACUACCUCGAAGGCUAGGAUUGUCAGCAAAGACAAUACUGUUGCUUCAUGGGAUGCAGAUUUCUAUGUUAAAUUGUUGAUGAUGCAGAUACAAAUUUAGGUAUAUUUGGAGCAGCUCUAGCUGGAGCAUCAGUCGAAUCCCUGCUAAUAGAUCACUGAAGUCUGGUCCAGACCAUACAGUGCUUUCUCGAAAGUAAGCUGUCCCCUCUUAAAAUUAUUUCUUCCAGCGAGACAUCAUUGGCAAUCUUCCCCUUGCCUUGCUCAUCAGGAGGACGGUAAGGAGGUCCAUUAUUGGAAGUUGGCAUGGAAGCAGGUAUUUUCAUCAUGCCACAGGGAGUCUCUAUGCUAGCUCAAAAGACUUGGCUUCUUACAUGUCAAUUAACCGGAUCAGAGCAAACCUAAACCUCAAGAAGAUACAGAUCAAGAGAAGCCAAUUGCAUGCUUAAGCAAAUUAAAGGGUGAGCAAGAAGGAUGCUUGAAGCUUAUAUUGAUUGUAAGGUCAAUCUUUUACAGCCUUAUACAAUACACAUAGAUUCUAGUUUCAUUUGUAACUUCAGCUUACUUUUUAUCUCACUUUAUCUUUGUGAGAAAUAUAAAACUGCAAUAAAAUGCUAGUGGCCACCUUAUGAA